rnacentral:rRNA from 1 species
UACGUAGGUGGCGAGCGUUAUCCGGAAUUAUUGGGCGUAAAGAGCGCGCAGGCGGUGACUUAAGUCUGAUGUGAAAGCCCACGGCUCAACCGUGGAAGGUCAUUGGAAACUGGUCGACUUGAGUGCAGAAGAGGGAAGUGGAAUUCCAUGUGUAGCGGUGAAAUGCGUAGAGAUAUGGAGGAACACCAGUGGCGAAGGCGGCUUCCUGGUCUGUAACUGACACUGAGGCGCGAAAGCGUGGGGAGCAAACAGGAUUAGAUACCCGGGUA